rnacentral:misc_RNA from 1 species
AAUUCUCAACUCAUAAUGUUCUUGCGAGCAUUGUGCAGUUGGAUGUGGAGGCUUUGCUGGCUUUAAUCAGUCGGCUCCUCUUAAAUGCAUUAGCUUGAUUCCUUGCGGAUCGGCUUCGGUGUGAUAAUUGUCUACGCCGUAACCGUGAAGCGUUUGGCGAGCUUAUAGCCGUCUCGUUAGAGACAACACUUUGAC